rnacentral:rRNA from 1 species
GACGAACGCUGGCGGCGUGCUUAACACAUGCAAGUCGAACGCUGAAGACCUGGCUUUUGUUGGGUUGGCUGAGUGGCGAACGGGUGAGUAACACGUGAGUAACCUGCCCUCUUCUUUGGGAUAACGCCCGGAAACGGGUGCUAAUACUGGAUAUUCACUGAUCUUCGCAUGGGGGUUGGUGGAAAGGUUUGUUCUGGUGGGGGAUGGGCUCGCGGCCUAUCAGCUUGUUGGUGGGGUGAUGGCCUACCAAGGCUUUGACGGGUAGCCGGCCUGAGAGGGUGACCGGUCACAUUGGGACUGAGAUACGGCCCAGACUCCUACGGGAGGCAGCAGUGGGGAAUAUUGCACAAUGGGCGAAAGCCUGAUGCAGCGACGCCGCGUGAGGGAUGGAGGCCUUCGGGUUGUAAACCUCUUUCGCUCAUGGUCAAGCCGCAACUGUGGGUUGUGGUGAGGGUAGUGGGUAAAGAAGCGCCGGCUAACUACGUG